rnacentral:rRNA from 1 species
GGUGUGGAGCUGACUGGUACUAAUAGGCCGAGGGCUUGUCACACACCAACACCACGCAGGGAAACAUUGUUUCUCCUGACCGUGUUGGGACAGAUCGACUGAUAAAGCCUGCGCUAUGUAACGAUGUUCGCGUUCACUGUACGGUUCCCGGAAUACGGUCAACCCCAGCAACCAAACCCCACACCAGGGGUUUGUGACUUAGCAGGUUGAUAUGUGUUCUCAUAGAGUUUCGGUGGCCAUAGCGUCGGGGAAACACCCAGUCUCCAUUCCGAACCUGGAAGUUAAGCCCGCCAGCGCCGAUGGUACUGCGACCGGGAGGUCGUGGGAGAGUAGGACGCCGCCGGAC